CUCUCUCUCUCUCUCUCUCUCUCUCUCUCUCUCUCUCUCUCUCUCUCUCUCUCUCUCUCUCUCUCUCUCUCACUCUCUCUUUCCCCCUGUGCUCUCUCACUCUCUCUUUCCCACCGUGCUCUCUCUCUCUCUCUCUCUCCCCCUGUGCUCUCUCACCUCUCUCUACCGCUCUCUUCCCUCUGUGCUCCCCCUCCUCCCUCUCUCCCUUUCUGUCUAUCUUUCCCUCUGCCUCUCCAUGCCUGUUUCUCUUCCUGAUCUCUAAAGAUCCUGUAACAAUGUAGUCCUGGCAGAAUGAGCAGACAGUGAUGAUGAGAUUGACUGGCAGGCUACUAUGGUCAGGUGUGGAGCGAGCAGACUCAGGGAAUUCUAGGUAACUCCACAGAACAUAUAGAUACAUUACUAUGUAGAUACAUUACUAUAUAGAUACAUUACUAUAUAGAUACAUUACUGUAUAGACACUGUACAUUACUGUGUAGGUACAUUACUGUAUAGAUACUGUACAUUACUGUAUAGAUACAUUACUGAAUAGGUACAUUACAGUAUAGAUACAUUACUGUAUAGGUACAUUACUGUAUAGAUACUGUACAUUACUGUAUAGAUACAUUACUGUAUAGACACUGUACAUUACUGUAUAGAUAAAUUACUGUAUAGACACUGUACAUUAUUGUAUAGAUACAUUACUGUAUAGAUACAUUACUGUAUAGAUACUGUACAUUACUGAAUAGGUACAUUACUGUAUAGGUACAUUACUGUAUAGAUACAGUACAUUACUGUAUAGAUACAUUACUGUAUAGAUACUGUACAUUACUGUAUAGAUACAUUACUGUAUAGGGGGGUCUGGCACAUUUGUAUAAAUGUGUGCAGUUUGUGUGUGUGUGUGUGUGUGUGUGUGUGUGUGUGUGUGUGCGUGUGUGGGUGUGUGCAUGUGUCUGCAGGUGCCCUUGAUGGCUGAGUGAACCCCAUUCACCUGAGACCCCCUGCCGUUAGCCCCUCUCCCCAAUCCAGAAGCCCCCUACCACCCACCCCGUACCUUCAGAUCAAUACCAAUUUAUAGGCAAAUGCAGAAAGGCUGACUUGCAGGUUUAAUGAAUGGAAGCAUUGUUAAGGUCAGUCUUCUGAUGAAGGUUCUGAGAGGGGUGUUCAGUAAACAUGUUGGCGGGGGAGCCUGUGUGUGUGUGUGUGUGUGUGUGUGUGUGUGUGUGUGUGUGUGUGUGUGUGUGUGUGUGUGCGCGUGCACCCGCGCGUGCACAUGUGUGUGUGCCCGUGUGUGUGUGUGUGUGUGUGUGCGCGUGCACCCGCGCGUGCACAUGUGUGUGUGCCCGUGUGUGUGUGUGUGUGUGUGUGUGUGUGUGUGUAUAUUUGUGUUGUCAGAUGGUGAACAGCCAUUGCUCUGCCUGGUUUUUCCCUACAGACCACUGUUUGGUAACUCCCUGAUUCAGUGACGGACAUGACAAGACAAAUGGACAGACAGAGAGAGAGAGAGACAUGAGAAGACAAGGGAGAGAGAGAGAGAGAGAGAGAGAGAGAGAGA
rnacentral:lncRNA from 1 species